rnacentral:rRNA from 1 species
AGUGAACGCUGGCGGUAGGCCUAACACAUGCAAGUCGAACGGCAGCACAGUAAGAGCUUGCUCUUACGGGUGGCGAGUGGCGGACGGGUGAGGAAUACAUCGGAAUCUACUUUUUCGUGGGGGAUAACGUAGGGAAACUUACGCUAAUACCGCAUACGACCUACGGGUGAAAGCAGGGGAUCUUCGGACCUUGCGCGAUUGAAUGAGCCGAUGUCGGAUUAGCUAGUUGGCGGGGUAAAGGCCCACCAAGGCGACGAUCCGUAGCUGGUCUGAGAGGAUGAUCAGCCACACUGGAACUGAGACACGGUCCAGACUCCUACGGGAGGCAGAAGUGGGGAAUAUGGGACAAUGGGCGAAAGCCUGAUCAGCCAUACCGCGUGGGUGAAGAAGGCCGUCGGGUUGUAAAGCCCUUUUGUUGGGAAAGAAAAGCAGCAGGUUAAUACCCCGCUGUUCUGACGGUACCCAAAGAAUAAGCACCGGCUAACUUCG